GAUGAACGCUAGCGGCAGGCCUAACACAUGCAAGUCGAGGGGUAACAUAGAGAGCUUGCUUUCUGAUGACGACCGGCGCACGGGUGCGUAACGCGUAUACAAUCUACCUUGUACUAGGGGAUAGCCUUUGGAAACGAAGAUUAAUACCCUAUAGUAUUUAAAAAUCUCCUGAUUUUAAAAUUAAAGGUUACGGUACAAGAUGAGUAUGCGUCCUAUUAGCUAGAUGGUGUGGUAACGGCACACCAUGGCCACGAUAGGUAGGGGCCCUGAGAGGGGGAUCCCCCACACUGGUACUGAGACACGGACCAGACUCCUACGGGAGGCAGCAGUGAGGAAUAUUGGACAAUGGAGGCAACUCUGAUCCAGCCAUGCCGCGUGCAGGAAGACUGCCCUAUGGGUUGUAAACUGCUUUUAUACAGGAAGAAACCACUCUACGUGUAGAGUCUUGACGGUACUGUAAGAAUAAGGAUCGGCUAACUCCG
rnacentral:rRNA from 1 species